rnacentral:rRNA from 1 species
AGUGAACGCUGGCGGUAGGCCUAACACAUGCAAGUCGAACGGCAGCACAGUAAGAGCUUGCUCUUACGGGUGGCGAGUGGCGGACGGGUGAGGAAUACAUCGGAAUCUACUUUUUCGUGGGGGAUAAUGUAGGGAAACUUACGCUAAUACCGCAUACGACCUACGGGUGAAAGCAGGGGAUCUUCGGACCUUGCGCGAUUGAAUGAGCCGAUGUUGGAUUAGCUAGUUGGCGGGGUAAAGGCCCACCAAGGCGACGAUCCGUAGCUGGUCUGAGAGGAUGAUCAGCCACACUGGAACUGAGACACGGUCCAGACUCCUACGGGAGGAGGCAGUGGGGAAUAUUGGACAAUGGGCGCAAGCCUGAUCCAGCCAUACCGCGUGGGUGAAGAAGGCCUUCGGGUUGUAAAGCCAUUUUGUUGGGAAAGAAAAGCAGCAGGUUAAUACCCCGCUGUUCUGACGGUACCCAAAGAAUAAGCACCGGCUAACUUCGUG